rnacentral:rRNA from 1 species
AUGUAAAAUGACUCUCGGCAACGGAUAUCUCGGCUCUUGCAUCGAUGAAAAACGUAGCGAAAUGCGAUACUUGGUGUGAAUUGCAGAAUCCCGUGAACCAUCGAGUCUUUGAACGCAAGUUGCGCCCAAAGCCAUUAGGCUGAGGGCACGCCUGCCUGGGUGUCACAC